GCCCAUGGGCAAAGAAUAAACCGUCCAUGCUAAUUUAUGGGAGAUUAGGCAUUCCCUCAUAUGGAAGUGUGGAAUGCCUAAGUGUGAAUGCCAGCUACUCCCAGACUCCGAUAAGGGCGCUUAUAUGAGCAUCGGUAAAUUAUAUCUUGCAAAUGACAAAAGCUUCCAGUCAGUAAUAUUAGUAAAACUCCCUCUCUACGAUGAAUCCAAUACAUAAAAUAAUCAGCACCUUUGACUGGUGUUUAGCUUUCUAUGAUGCCUAAAUAUUGGAAAAACACAACACCCAUCCUAAAAGGGGAUUUGCUACAGGCUUCACCGUUGGGGCAAUUUGCCAAAAGUUUCAAACGGGUUAAUAUUACAAAAAAUGUGAAAGGGUGUUAAGAUAUUUAGCAGAUACUUACUUGGGAGUUCCCAUCUUCAUUUUCUUGGUUCUUGACAAAAACACAAUCUUUGUGGGGGCGACCCCGUCUGAAUGGCUCUGGCGCAAGGCAACGGUUAAUUCAUAUACCGGCCGCUAAGAAAGGGUGGCAAUUACACUAAUAUCCCUGCCUAAUUCAGUUCCACGUCGCAAUUCCUGGGGUUUUUCAAUAAGGGCUCGCUGGUUAUGGUUUUCUUCAUUUCCUUUCUCA
rnacentral:lncRNA from 1 species